rnacentral:lncRNA from 1 species
AUGGGGGCGUGUUGGGUUGGUCUCACGGUGCCUGCUGUGUGUUCUCAGGGCCUGCCCAGGGAGCCCCCUCCCAGUACUCCAGCUACCAGCAAGGACAGAGCCAGCAGUAUGGAAGCUACAGAGCGUCUCAGACGGGCCCGUCCGCCCAGCAGCAGCGGCCUUACGGCUAUGAGCAGGGCCAGUAUGGAAAUUACCAGCAGUAAGGGACAAGCAUUCUUCUUGGAGCCUUGUGGUGGCCUGUCCAUCCAGGGGUGGAUGGGCCGGUGGCAGUUCUCAUGAACUGUGACCUGUUGGUUGCCCCUCGUCCCACUCAGUGUCUGCAUGUAAAGCGUGCACAUGGCAUGCUGGGUGUGAUGCUGAGCGUGCACUGCUGGCGGGAGACAGCGCUUUGAUGGUGUGACAUAUUUGGUGCUGUGUAUAGUAUUGUAUGUCCAUACAAUGGAGAGCUUGUCCCUUUUUUGUCCCCCUGUUGAUGUUUCUAGCUAACUUUAGGGGUUCUUUGGUCAUCAGAGUGUUCUGUGCCCAGUGAUGGGGCAUAUCUACAAGACGCCAUUGUCCGUGUAUUCAUACAAACAGACCUUAGGUCUGACUCUCCUCGUGCAGUUGUAAUGUGGGUUGUAACUUUAUCUUUCACUGGCUACAUCGCAGCUGGACCUGCGCGCACAGCCCCAGGGCGGCGGCCUUUCCUGGGCUCGAUGGGGCUCUGGGAGGCAUCUUCCGUGGUGCGGGUCAGUUUCUGUUACACACUGGAAAGGAAAAAUGUGCUUCAUUGGGAACGGCUGUGAACCGUCAUUUCUGGAGCUCGCUCGUUGCCUGUGUUGCUCACCAGUUCUGUUUAUCCAAAAGGUUGUGUGAUUUUGUAUUAAAAAGUAAAGAGGGAUCAAUGACUAUGUUCCAAAUAAGUAUGAACCCAAGAAGGCCGUGUGAUGAGCCUGACCCGGGAGAGCGGCACGACUGCGGGAAGGAGAGGGGGGGCCUCUGAAAUUGCUGUGGCUUUGGCCCUGGUAUAUCUGACAGUCAUUUCUGGGAUCUGAAUAUUUAAUGUGCCCAAUUCUAAAUUUAUAGUUUAAAAUAUUGUCCAAAUACUUGUCCAAUACCAAAUUGUCCAAACAGGACCUUUUGUUUAUAUUCUUUCUUCUAGGACCUAUGUGUUCGGGAUUCCAAGCAAGUGUUCCUUUUCUUUUAGGGACAUCUGAAAUUCACAUCUCAUUUUUGAAAAGGACCCCACUAACUUUACUGUGUUCUUCCUAAUGAAAAGGAAAGGUUUUAUAUAGAGAUUUGAAUAAUUUUUACAUUCCUAGGACAUUAAAUCCCAUUUAAAUUCUGUGCAAACAUUAAAGACAGCUCACUUGGAAAAGUACGGUCCAAGGAAAAAUCCUACAUUUCACCAAUAAGUAAUAUGGACAUUUUAUCAACCUUGGAUAAUAAUAUCCAUAUUUACUAUGAAUCCUUUAAAAACAUCUUUGGAUAAAUGGUGGCAUAUUUCCAAGACCAACCAAGAACAUACAAAAAAUAUCCAAUUCUUGAUAUAUCAGGUCUACUGAAGAUUAUAUAUUUGUUUUGUUUAAAAAAUUUAAAGUUCUUUAUCCAGUGUUGAAUGCUUUACAGUUUACAAGGCAUUUUAAUGGUUUUGUUUUUUUUUUUUUUUUCUUAAAUGAGUCCUAACAAUCCACCCUGGGAAAUUGGAGGCAAGUACUGUUCCCUUGUUACAGAGGAAGACCCGGGGCUCAGGCUGGAGGGCUGCCAGUUGAGGGCGGUCUCUCCUCUUCUGUGGAGACAGAGUCACACACACACUGGAUAAAAGCAUUUAUUUUGUAAGCGUAUGGGUUUUAAAAACCUUAACACUGGUAAAAGCUUAAAAAUACCUAUCUAUAUUAAAUUACUGCGAUGAGAGUUGUUAGUUGCUGAAUGACACACAGUAGCAAUUUCAUUUAGGGAGUUGUUGCCCUUGGUUUUGUUCUCUUCUGUCCUGACAAUUUCCAUAAAACUAAUUGCAAACUCAUUCGGGGACUAAAAUUUCCCACUGAAAACGUUAAACAUUUUAGGUCACUGUGACAAUGGUUGAUUUUUAUCCCUUGCCAGUCUGGGAAUAUGCCUUUUAUGUGGUUUUUUUUAAGUGCUGUAUCAAUACUUUUCGAAAAAAAGGACACUUAAAAAACUUAUCCCGAAACUUCAAUCUGAAAUGUCUUACAUUAAGAAUUUCUUGAAUGUUGUGUAUAUAUUUUAAAAAGCACUUUGUGAAAUAGUUUGUACAUUGAUUUCCUAAUUUAUACAUGAUUUUUGGUGUUAAUAUAUUUAAUGGUCGAUAACAGAAUGUUUAUUUAAUGUUGUCCAUUUUUCUGUAAUAUUAUGGGGAAGAAGUGAUGCCAACAGUCCUUUUUCACUAACUGUAUUAUAUGUGCUCUUCUGUGAUAUGAAUGUUUGCAGAAGCUUAGGCGAAAACGAAUUGUUUGUGCAGUGUGGUGGGUGGCGCUUUGUUUUUUAUGACCACUUCUACAGAAGUCCGGUGAAGAGGCAAAGGAAGACUUGGAAAUAGACGCUCAUCCUUCUUCCUAUUGUCCCCGACACCCAGCAGGUUGUGAAUCUGAAAAACGAUGACCACAAUUUUCAGAAGUGCUGACAAGUUCAUAUUGGUAUGCGAAAGCUCAUCACCCAUUAGGGUUUAUUGUUGAACCAACGGUAUCUGUGGACUCAGCUGUUAAAAGUACUUAGAACUCACACUGAGAGUGAGAAUGGAUGGCGUUGAGGUGGACAAGGUCUCCAGGACCUCAAGGGGAGCCUUAAUAUGCUCAUGCAGUUGGAGCCUAAGUGAGCCCCUGAUUUUAUCAGAGGUUUUGUGUAUAUAGGUCUGAAUAUCGGGCAUCCAUUCAAAGUUGCACAAAGAGGAAGACUGUUUCCGUUUCCGUUUGAAAUGUUUGAGUCAAACUUCAUUUCUAUUUAUCGAACAGGUCAAAUUUGUCUUAUUUGUGAGCACAGUACAUUUUUUGAAAAACAUCUUUAUUGGUUCAUUUUUUUUUAAGUCAGAGUUUGGCGUCUAAAUUGUUUAUGCUUUUGGUGUAAUCUGUUAAUAAACUGGUUCUUCAGGAAUCA